rnacentral:rRNA from 1 species
UUUGCCCACACAUGGGAUCAAUAGGAUACCAUAACGAUGAAGGUCGUAAUAGAAUACGAAAGUAUUUUAAUAUUUAUCGAAUUAAUAUUUAAUAAUAUUGAUUACCCUUUGAACUUA